UACGUAGGGGUGCAAGCGUUAAUCGGAAUUACUGGGCGUAAAGCGUGCGCAGGCGGCUUUGCAAGCACAGAUGUGAAAGUCCCCGGGGCUUAACCUGGGGACUGCAUUUGUGGACUGCAUGGGCUGGAGUGCGGCAGAGGGGGAUGGGAAUUCCGGCGUGUAGCAGUGAAAUGCGUAGAUAUGCGGGAGGAACACCGGAUGGCGAAGGCAAUCCCCCUGGGCCUGCACAUGACGCUCAUGCACGAAAGCGUGGGGGAGCAAACAGGA
rnacentral:rRNA from 1 species